rnacentral:rRNA from 1 species
UACGUAGGGUGCGAGCGUUAAUCGGAAUUACUGGGCGUAAAGCGUGCGCAGGCGGUUUUGUAAGCCAGGUGUGAAAUCCCCGGGCUCAACCUGGGAAUGGCAUUUGGGACUGCAAGGCUGGAGUGUGGCAGAGGAGACUGGAAUUCCUGGUGUAGCAGUGAAAUGCGUAGAUAUCAGGAGGAACACCGGUGGCAAAGGCGGGUCUCUGGGCCGUUACUGACGCUGAGGAGCGAAAGCGUGGGGAGCGAACAGG